UUGGCUGGCGUGUGUCCUCCGAUUACAUCAUUCCGGCAGUAAUCGGUUUACGGUGAUACUGCUCCCUGAAACCCGACGACGAAGUUAAUUUUGACGGCUAAAUCUUGAGGAUGAUUUUGAUUACAUAUGGAAAAAAAAAGAAGCCACAUAACUAAUGACGAUGACUUUAAGGAGAACACUCCCAUCAACAUACUAUAUGGGCGAAACAAGGCAACGGUUCAGAAAAAAGUGGGUUGUGCAGGAUGACAAAUUAUACUUAUAAAAGAGCUGCAUAACAAUCAGAUCACAGUCCCAGCUUCAUUCUGACGUUGGGGUAGGCAAUGAGGAUGAUACAAAAACCAAAGCCUCGAGUGAUGAUGUAAAGGGGGGAUUUUACUAGCCCAUUGAAUGACUAGGCAUCUGAAUUCUUCCCCGCGCAGCGCAGGAAGAGGUCACGUUUUUCCCUUGAAGCUCAGGAGGCAUCACCUCAAGCAAGCUCGAAUGAUGAUGAUUCCUAGAGUACUACAACAGACCCUGUAUCAAGUGUUUCACCGAAUGGGAGAUUUAGACGUGUUAUUUCAUCUUGGCAGAAGGGUGAUCUCUUGGGCAGUGGAUCAUUUGGAUCUGUGUAUGAGGGAAUUGCUGAGUAUGUGUUAACUGCUUUUCCAUUUUACUUUCGUGCUUGUCAUUGCAAAAAUAUGAAGUAGUAUUCAUCUGAGCACGAAGCCGUAUGGUCUAUGCAUUUGGGCUGCCAUUAUUUGUAAUUUGGAGUUAGUGGCUUUCUUGAACACUAUACUUAGGGUAUUUUCAUGAUUGUGUAAGGUCAGGUGGACUUUACUUUUUAAAAAUCAUGAUUCUAGGGACCCCCACUCCAGCUGCUGACUGGAGCUUGAUCAUGAUUGUGUAACUGGCCGUCACAGUUACAGGGACUACGAAUGAUUUGGACGAGGACGAGGACGAUGACAGUACUGAUGAUGAUGAUAUGGACGACUUGAGGUUCAGCGGAGCUCGACUGGCAGCACCCGACAGGCGCCAUCGUCCUCCGGGGCAACGGGCGAGGUUAUUCGCACAUCGGAUGACGGGGAGGCUCAGAGGGCAAGGCAGGUAAAGUGGUUGGGUUUGGAAGGGAAUUUAGAUUGUUUUUGCAUUAGAUUGAAAAGACAUUAGUAUAUGUAUUAUUGGGUAGGGACUUGUUUAUUGUUAGUUCCUUUCCACUGAACAUAAUCCCCAAAUAUG